rnacentral:rRNA from 1 species
CAUGCAAGUCGAACGGUAACAGGGAGCUUGCUCCGCUGACGAGUGGCGAACGGGUGAGUAAUAUAUCGGAACGUACCCAAGAGUGGGGGAUAACGUAGCGAAAGUUACGCUAAUACCGCAUACGAUCCAAGGAUGAAAGCAGGGGACCGCAAGGCCUUGUGCUCCUGGAGCGGCCGAUAUCUGAUUAGCUAGUUGGUAGGGUAAAGGCCUACCAAGGCAUCGAUCAGUAGCUGGUCUGAGAGGACGACCAGCCACACUGGAACUGAGACACGGUCCAGACUCCUACGGGAGGCAGCAGUGGGGAAUUUUGGACAAUGGGCGCAAGCCUGAUCCAGCAAUGCCGCGUGAGUGAAGAAGGCCUUCGGGUUGUAAAGCUCUUUUGUCAGGGAAGAAACGGGUGUGGCUAAUAUCUGCAUCUAAUGACGGUACCUGAAGAAUAAGCACCGGCUAACUACGUGCCAGCAGCCGCGGUAAUACGUAGGGUGCAAGCGUUAAUCGGAAUUACUGGGCGUAAAGCGUGCGCAGGCGGUUUUGUAAGUCCGUUGUGAAAUCCCCGGGCUUAACCUGGGAAUGGCAAUGGAGACUGCAAGGCUAGAGUUUGGCAGAGGGGGGUAGAAUUCCACGUGUAGCAGUGAAAUGCGUAGAGAUGUGGAGGAACACCGAUGGCGAAGGCAGUCCCCUGGGUCAAGACUGACGCUCA